AGCGAACGCUGGCGGCAGGCCUAACACAUACAAGUCGAACGAACUCUUCGGAGUUAGUGGCGGACGGGUGAGUAACACGUGGGAACGUGCCUUUAGGUUCGGAAUAACUCAGGGAAACUUGUGCUAAUACCGAAUGUGCCCUUCGGGGGAAAGAUUUAUCGCCUUUAGAGCGGCCCGCGUCUGAUUAGCUAGUUGGUGAGGUAAUGGCUCACCAAGGCUACGGUCAGUAGCUGGUCUGAGAGGAUGACCAGCCACAUUGGGACUGAGACACGGCCCAAACUCCUACGGGAGGCAGCAGUGGGGAAUCUUGCGCAAUGGGCGAAAGCCUGACGCAGCCAUGCCGCGUGGAUGAUGAAGGUCUUAGGAUUGUAAAAUCCUUUCACCGGUGAAGAUAAUGACUGUAGCCGGAGAAGAAGCCCCGGCUAACUUCGUGCCAGCCGCCGCCGUAACAC
rnacentral:rRNA from 1 species